rnacentral:lncRNA from 1 species
AUUAGGGUUGCAGUGAUACUUAGGGCAAUGCAAUCAAAACUAGUCCAAAUCUCCAUUAGUUCAUAAUGGCCUUGUCAAAAUGACAGCAGGAUAAUUGUCUGUUCUGAGAGAGGACUGCAGUACAAUCAGUAGACCUGUGCAUCAGAGUCUCUGUAGGUUGGUAGAGAUAGAUGUCAACAUGAUUUAAGAUGUUCACCAGGGAGUCUUGAGAAUAAGUCACAGGGCACAGGUCCCCAGACACAAAGUCUUGCAGUCAAAAACUUACAAGUGAAGUCACUUGUCAUGGAAAGGAGCCAAGCCUGGAUCUACAUCCUGUCCAGACUGACCGUAGAAUGUGUGAUCAAAGUAGGUGCUCUGGCAGAAGAGCAGGUGAAGGAGGAAAUUAAUAUUUAGUGAGUCCCAACAGUUCACUGAGUGAUGUCUUGGGUGCCUCGUAUUUUGUGUUCUAGUUCAUCUUUCCAGGACUGAGAGCAACUUGACCCAUUAACAAAUGAGUAAAUUCAGGCUGGAAAAGUUAAGCAAAUCAUCUGAAGAUAAGGAGAUUAUAAGUGACAGUUACUACUCAGUCUGUUUGAUUUGACAGCCUACACAGUUUUCAAGGCACUGGCAAAAAAAAAAAAGACUCACAACCUCAGGAUAUGAGUCCAGCUCUUGAAACUUGAAUGUGAUCAAUACUUAGAUGUGUCAUGGGUUUCAUGAACCAAGUGUUUUUGUGUCACUACGUUCAUCUUGUCCAAGUCAGCCCCAUUAGAACAUUACUCACAAGAGUACUGCAUUAGCCAUAUUAAUGCUUUGGCUCACAGAGAGGCCCUUAUCCUUUCUGUAUCAAUCAAAAGGGACUUCUACCUUAAGGGUCAGUUCCCAAGUCACUUUGAGUCUUUUCAAGGUCCUGUUAAGCAAGACUCCCCUUGAUCAUAUUUGUCCCCACAAAAUCUUCCAGCUUUGCACAGGGUUGCAUUGCAAUCCCUAGUACACAGCUAUGUCUCCAUCCCAUGGUUCUAAGGCAACCUGAAAUAGUAGCAAACACCAGUUUCCUCAGGUCUCUGACUAAGAUAAGGACAUCAUUAAUGGGAUCUUAUUCCUACGUCAGCUACUGACUCAUUUGACCUCUCUGUGCCAAAAUUCCUCCCUUUAAAUUAAGGGUUAUAUAGAUCAUGCAUCUGUAAUACUUAGGAUAGCACUUGGCACAAGGAGAACAGGUAUGGCUUGUACAAAACAUGAAUUCUUUGUUCUUCAUCUUGACCCUACGUCCCUCUUACACUUUUAUAUACUUCCAGGUCAGGGAAACUUCACUGUACUUUUAUGGGUCCCCUUAAACUAUCCCAGUACCUGGUAGUGAGGAUUUCAGAAUUUUGUUUGACCUGAAAGGCCACCACAAGUUUUGCAACUGGAACAAUCAACUAUGUUGUUUGGUGGAAUUUCAUCUGAUUAUAGACAAUCUUGGCAGUAAUAGCUUGCUAGGGCUACCAUAGCAAAGUUUCAGAGUAUGUGGCUUCAUCUACAGAAAAUAAUUAUCUCAUAAUUCUAGAGUCUACAAGUUCAAGAUCAGAGUGUCAGUAGUGCUGGCAUCUUCUAAGACCUCUCUUCUGGGCUUGUAGGUGGCUUUCUUUUCCCUGUGUCCUCGCGUGGUUGCAUGGUUAUCCCUUUGUGAGUUACAAGAGCAGUAGUUGUAUUGGUUUAGGACCAAGCCAUGUGAGCUCUCUUUUACUCAACCACCUCUCUAAAGACUCUUUGUCUAAAUAUUUAGAGUCAAACAUGGAGAAUUCCGGGGUACUAGAGAGUGAGACUUAAAAUCUGGAUUUUGGGGAGACAGAGUUCAGCUUAUCACUGAUGCUGCUCUGAAAACAAUCAAACCUGGAGUUUAUUGCUGGAACAAAAAGGAUGAGGGAGCAUCAAGAGAGACACAAAAUUCUCCCAGUUGUGGAUGAAGGGGACUCUGCAUAAGACUAGGCCUGGUUAGAAAACUCACUUUGUGGAGGAGUUGAAGAGAGAGGGAAAUUCAGGAAACAUGGAGACCUAUGUCCUAUACAUGCAGUGAAUCUGACACAGGCAGCUGAGUCAUGGCACAUGUUCUAUUUUGGUCUUCAGGGUACAGGGGGAUACAAACUCAGAGAAAAAUGAGUUUCUGCCCUAGCCCUGCCAUCAGUAGUAAAACAGCAUCAAUGCCUUGACCUUUGUAUACCUUUGUUUCCCCAUAUGUAAAUGAGUUAAUUAUAAUACUUACCUAACAGAACUGUUGUGAUGCUUAGACAGGAUGGUGGAUCUGAAGCCACAGUCUUAAUGUUGGACACAUUCUAAGGGCUCAACAAAUAAAAGCUAUGAUGAGGAAUAAUAAUAUAACCA